GGGAUCUCUCAAUUGAGCUAGCUUCAAAUUCUCUUUAUCGAAGGAGUUCACCAUGAUUCUAGGCAGAUGGCAAAGAUAAGGUUGCCAGACUUUCCUCCUUUCUUCUUAUUAAGUUUUGGCGGUUAUUGUCACUCUCAUUUGGUUUGAUGAACCACCAGAGUAAUAUGAAAAGGAUCCCCAUGUUCCAUGCCUUUUUUUCUCUUAUUUUUCUGCAUUAACUAUGGCUAUGGUCGGAGUCAUCAUCGUCGCCUUCACCGGACACCACUAUGGGUGAUCAGCGCCAGCAUCUC
rnacentral:lncRNA from 1 species